rfam:Selaginella moellendorffii mitochondrial scaffold SELMOscaffold_175, whole genome shotgun sequence.
ACCGCCACGGUGGAAUUGGUAGACACGCUGCUCUUAGGAAGCAGUGCUGAAGGCAUCUCGGUUCGAAUCCGAGCGGCGGCA